rnacentral:lncRNA from 1 species
UACCGAGCGCAGCCUACGCGCCCAGCCUGCGUGGUUCCUGCUGGGGGCAGCCCCGCGGCUGCAUUUGCCCAUGUGCCUCAACAUUGCGACGUUGGUACCGUACUCAUUGCUGGUCAGGUCAUGGCACUAAAACGCAACGCUGUAUGCAUGCAGUUCAUGGUGACCUGCAAGGACCGCACAGGGGAGAUGAAUCCGGAGACUCAGCGCGUGGUGUGCUGCUGCGCCCAGUGUGAGGAGAAGCAGCCCGACUUCGCCCGGCGCUUGCCCAUGACCUUCUCUGCAUGGGAGAAGCACUGCGGCUCCAAGAAUAAGAGUUGGAACACGGUAGGUUCACGAGGUCGAACCUAGAAAAAUUUACCAGUCCACCGGCUGACUCACUACAUGAGCCAGGGGGCACAAAGCGCACGGCUGCUACUGUAAUAGCCGCUCAAGAGGAUAGCUUGCAGCGAGUUCCAGGCCACCCAGCGCCUCUGAUGCAAGUCAGUGCGUGGCCACUGACCGUGAUUGCCAUUGGUCACAUGCGUCAUGUCACGCACGCAGAGCCUGAAGGUCGUGCCCGGGUCGGGGCUGGCGGCGGUGCCGGCUGACAACAGGCCGGUGUCCAUCAGGGCCUUGCUGGCGCGGAGGAAGCUGAGGGUCGGCAGAUGGGCCCGCGGCACGGACGUGGGUAAGUGGCCGAUUCGCGGUUGUGCAGAUCCGUGCAACACCGAUGCACGCCCUUAAUAAGGAAGGGCUGGGUUAAUUGCCAGGUAGGAGCACGGGCUUAGAGCAGGCGGUGUUGUUCACAUCUGCCUGAGCUGAGCUACCUGACAACCACAUAAGCACUGCUGCGGCGGCAGCCUUGCCCUAGUUGAGCGUCAUAGCCGUGUUAGUGCUUGACAGUGCUUCAUGCGCUGUGCAUCCGUCCUUGACUACCGUACAUUGUUCCUCCCUCCCCUACACCGCACCACCGAUUCCCUAUCGCUGCUACCUCCGGAGCGCCCUGAUUUGUCCCGGCCCAACUUUGUUCUGAAUUACGGUACUCUUGGUGUGCGCUGCAGGCAAGCUGUACCUUGAGCGACUCGAGGAACCGACGAAGGAACCAUAAGGCAGUAAAAUAUUGUUGGCAAGCCAUUGCCAAGGUUGUCUGAUGCAAGUACCCGAGUAACGUAACGCUUGUAACGCAGCGCACAUGGCAGUCGGGGCAGCGCACGUGGCCUGGUACCGGGCCUUAGCCUGUCGUGGCCAGGUGGGCGGGAUGCGGGCAUGCAGCGGGUACUGUGGGAGCGGAGGUCCUGCAAUAUGGCAAGCGCAAAAGAGGUGGAAAGCGCAAAAGAAGAACACGAGGCAUGGUAACACGCGGCUACUAAUAAACUCGUGUGUUGCCUGGCUUUGACUGUACCGUACGUGCCAGCAGGGAGCCGGGUCCCAUGGUACGUGGUAAGGCCUCUGAAGAGAUUUGUGUCUUGCCAGAGAGAGGGAGAGAGACAGAGAGAAAUUGUGUGUGAGUGUGUGUGUGUGUGUGUGUGUGCAGGUGUGUGUGCAUGUGUUUGUGAAGCUGCACCAAGUAGGGCCAGGGGUCCGUGGGCUCCAGGAAGCGUAUUCUAUCUGCUGUCCUAUUGGCUAGGUAGGUGGCUACCCCUCCCCCCAAACAUUUGUGGCCCCUCCAUGCCUGGAUGGGCCCGGCAUGGGGUGUUGUCGAGGGCAGCCAGCGGACGUGUAACUGCUGCGUGCACGAGCACACACGGGGUGCAGGGCUUUGCCCGAUGCCCAUUCAUCAAAGCUCAUGUGCGUAACCUACUGAGCGAAGUAUGGCCAUGCAUAGACACGCACUUGGCUGUUUGUGGACGCGGCCGGCUGUCUGUGGCCGCCAUGGAUGUCCAUUGGAUGCCGUUGACACAGCCCAACACAGCAUUCGUGCAAGUCUAAAAGGUGUGGGCUCAGGUUGUACAACUGGACCCGCCACCUACACUGCCGCGCACAGGGCUGCGGGCACCGUCACGCCGACCUCCGUAGCACAUCACGUCCCGAUGUCUUGGUCGAUGUCUGGGCAGCCGCAUAUCGUGAACCCUGCUGGGCCUUACUGUGUUAUGUGGUCCGGACGGAGAUGUUCCAUCCUGCACGGCAUACGUCCCUGCAUGGAAGUCCGCGCACUUGGACGAUAUGACUCCCCAGCCGCUGUCGCCACCUCGAAAAUCCCCAACCCGCAACCACCCAAACAACCAACUCCUAGUCCUACUGCAAGGCGCAGCGACCGCAUCAGACAGCUAUGGAAAGCAUACUAUUAGCUUUAAGAGCGCAAUGACGAGUCUCGCUCGUCGGCGACACGACCGCUGGACUCGCAUCGGGUUUGCGAAGCGACUUUUCCCCUGCUACUUCUUCGAUGGUUCCAGUCUAAAUUUCCUUCGAGUAAUAUAAGUGCUUAUAUACUUCUGCAUCAGACCACACUGACGAAGCAGGAUAUAGGGAAAGAAUGCUGCUCUCGAGGCAAGCCCUUUCAUCGUCGCGCGUUGCCCCGGCUCGACGGACGUCUGCAAUUGUAAGGUCCAAGCAGCCAUGCGUCGUCGCGGCGCGCCAAGUGGCACGGCCUGCAGCGCCGCGCAACUCGGCACCCUCGCCGGGCCCGCUAGAUGAUGGCUCCAACUUGGUAGGUUGCACAUCAGCCAGGCCCCUGCUCUUGCUGCUAUAGCGACAGCAAGACAAUCUUGGAAACUCAUUAGAAAGGACCAAAGUGCGGAAGUGUCAGCCCUUGACGUGACUCCCGUGUCCAGUGGUCCGUGUCGGGAUGUCAGCCCUGAUGCUCGGAUGGAAGCUGGGGCGCAUACAUGUAGGGAGGGUAUCGUGCCACAUUGUCGCAUGCAUAUUGGGUGACAGGUUGCAGGAGGAACCACUACGGCGUGCUGCAGCACGAACGCAGUACAGAGCCUUUCACUGGCCGCCCGCCUCGGCCAAUCCAACUCCCUUGUCUUUUCCAAUUCGCAAUGUUGGUCAUCUUCGUUACCACUUACCAGUUUGGCCAUUUCAACUUGUCACUUACCGGCAUUUUGUCCACCCGGUUUGGCGAGAUGUUGCCAACCCGCGCCACAACCAUGUUAUCCCCAUGUUAUCCCGCAUCUCAGAGGAUCUCAGCCGGGUCGUGUACCCUGACCUGGUCUCUGGACAGUCUGGCAUUGCCGCAUCUCGCAGUAUUGCAAUAUUACUGUACUGACAGUGUUCUGUGCGCCGUGCGCCUUGGACAAUUGAAAAUCGACAACUUACAUUCAGGCCGCAAUCCCACGCAGGUACUGCCAACGUUCCAAGAGCUUUUCCCAACCAAGGUGCGGCAUUCUGGUCGUGACUCCCCGAUGCCGUUCUACUUGUAGCUGCACUUAAUGCGGGUACGCACCGUCACGAUGCUACAAUCAACGCAACGCUGUAUGCAUGCAGUUCAUGGUGACCUGCAAGGACCGCACAGCGGAGUUGGAUCCGGAGACACAGCGCGUGGUGUGCUGCUGUGCCGAGUGUGAGGAGAAGCAGCCCGACUUCGCCCAACGCGUGCCCAUGACCUUCUCUGCAUGGGAGAAGCACUGCGGCUCCAAGAACAAGAAGUGGCACACGGUGAGUUCAGCUCCCUAAGUUCGCGUGUUUCCCCUCCACCGCACACUCAGAACCCAGGUCAUGAGGUUGGCUAGUCAGGGCGGGGGCGGGGCGUAAACGGGUCCGCACUAAACACGAAUGCUUGCGGCUUGCCCAUGGAAGUCGCACGCCCAGAAUGGAGCGUGCCGCUACGGUAGCCAUGUGGCAGGGGAGUAUACCGUAUCUGUCUGCGGGCCUGUUGAUGUGUAGUAGCCACUCGGUUGGUUGAUGGGAAGGGCCUAGCUUAUUGACCUUGCCGGGAAGCAAGGCCUUUUGGGCUCUUCUUGUGUUGGGCAGUUGGGCUGAUGGUUGGGAUUGCGUCAUGUAAC